GAUGAAGAACGUAGUGAAAUGCGAUAAGUAAUGCGAAUUGCAGAAUUCCAGUGAGUCAUCGAAUCUUUGAACGCACAUUGCGCCCUUUGGUAUUCCGAAGGGCAUGCCUGUUCGAGCGUCAUUAUCACCCCUCAAGCCCUCGGCUUGGUGUUGGACGGUUUGGUGGAGGCCCCCUCGGGGGUUCCUGCCCCUCCCAAAGACAAUGACGGCGGCCUCGUUGGACCCCCGGUACACUGAGUUCUUCACGGGACACGUAUCGGACACAUGGGUUUACGGGACACGGUCUGCCUCCCCUCAGGGAGAAUCUUUCUAAGGUUGACCUCGGAUCAGGUAGGGAUACCCGCUGAACUUAAGCAUAUCAAAAGCGGAGGA
rnacentral:misc_RNA from 1 species